rnacentral:rRNA from 1 species
CAGCAGCCACGGGAAUACGUAGGUGGCAAGCGUUGUCCGGAAUUAUUGGGCGUAAAGGGCUCGCAGGCGGUUUCUUAAGUCUGAUGUGAAAGCCCCCGGCUCAACCGGGGAGGGUCAUUGGAAACUGGGAAACUUGAGUGCAGAAGAGGAGAGUGGAAUUCCACGUGUAGCGGUGAAAUGCGUAGGGAUGUGGAGGAACACCAGUGGCGAAGGCGACUCUCUGGUCUGUAACUGACGCUGAGGAGCGAAAGCGUGGGGAGCGAACAGGAUUAGAUACCCGUGUAGUCCCUGUCUCUUAUAC